AGAGUUUGAUCAUGGCUCAGAAUCAACGCUGGCGGCGUGCCUAACACAUGCAAGUCGAACGCGGUUAUCCAGCAAUGGAUGACUGAGUGGCGAACGGGUGAGUAACACGUGGGUGACCUACCUUCGAGUGGGGGAUAACGUCCCGAAAGGGACGCUAAUACCGCAUAACAUCCUGCCUUUGAACAGGCGGUGAUCAAAGCCGGGGACCGUAAGCCCGGCGCUUGAUGAGGGGCUCGNGUCUGAUUAGCUAGUUGGUGAGGUAAUGGCCCACCAAGGCGACGAUCAGUAUCCGGCCUGAGAGGGCGGACGGACACACUGGGANUGAGACACGGCCCAGACUCCUACGGGAGGCAGCAGUGGGGAAUUGUUCACAAUGGGCGCAAGCCUGAUGACGCAACGCCGCGUGGAGGAUGAAGGUCUUCGGAUUGUAAACUCCUGUUGCCCGGGACGAAAAGUUUUGACCCAACAGGUCAGAGUCUGACG
rnacentral:rRNA from 1 species